AAAUAACAUUUUCAGAAAAAAAUCUCUCCAUGGAUAUUCCAAUUGUAACCGUUGUUAACACAAUUAAAUUCUUCAAAAUCAACAAAAACAUACUGUGGAAGACAAAAAUGAGGACUUGUGCUGAUGAACUCUACAAGUGACGUGUUAAGAAAGCGGAAACGGGCAAGAGCGUAGUAACUAAAAUCUG